CAGGGUCCCCAAGAGUGGAGCCUCCAUAGCUGAAUUGCUUCUCAGAGCAGCUGUGAAGAGGAGGAUUAGCUCACUGGUCUUGCAGUCCUAUGGAGAGCAGCUAUUGUCUCAGGGAAGAAAAAAGUCACCUGGCAGCCUGCGGUGACCAGAAAACACCUAAGCCCACCCUCUCAUCAAGGAAUUUGGCGCCCGCCCCCCCCUAGGCUGGGCAGCCCCAGGGGUCACUUUGGAGCCCUUGGGGACAGCUUUGUUGGCCCUGGUCCACAAUGCAGCCAGGUGCAAAUGGAAACAUGAGCUCUGAACUGAUCUGACUGGGAUUCCUCCUGCAUCCACCUUUACUCUGCAUGUU